rnacentral:miRNA from 1 species
AGACUGGUUAAUGAUUACAAUGCAUCGUAAAAGCUUCAGAAGGAAAGGAAUGUUUGUGGACCAUUUGUUUCGUGGCAGUUUAAGUUAUUAGUUUUUAA